GACGAACCGUGCGAACGUUGUUCGGAUUCACUGGGCUUAAAGGGCGCGUAGGCGGGGGGUCAAGUCCGAGGUGAAAUCUUUCGGCUCAACCGGAAAAGUGCCUUGGAUACGGACUCUCUCGAGGGGGGUAGGGGGACCUGGAACUUCCGGUGGAGCGGUGAAAUGCGUUGAUAUUGGAAGGAACGCCGGAGGCGAAAGCGGCGCACUGGAUCUCUUCUGACGCUGAGGCGCGAAAGCUAGGGGAGCAAACGGG
rnacentral:rRNA from 1 species